AUGCCCCACCUGGCAGAUCGCGCCCGCUUCCAAGCGGUGUGCCGCUCCUGGCGCUCACCGGCUUCCUCUCCGCUGCCGCAGCUGCCGUGGAUGCAAGCGGUAAUUCUUUCCUGGCAAUCAGUUUUCUCCCCGCCUCCGCCGCGACGGCCAUGGAAUUGGAUCCACGCGGUGUGCCGUCGUUCGCCGCAGCGGCGGACACCUUGGAUUGCGCUACAUGGCGGCUUCUACAAUAAGCACGGGCGCGCCCGCACUCACCCUGGAGGGUGCAGACGAAAUCGGUCCGCCGAUGACGACCAGGAGUGCAUCGCGUUCAGACGCCGGAAUAGCAACCCCUCCUUCCCCGACAACUUGCGGUGCAUUGGCUCCACGGAUAGCUGGCUCGUCCUCGACUACACUGACGAUCGGAGAAAAAUUCAUACCUAUUUCUUGCACAAUCCUUUCUCUAAAGAAGUUGUGUUGCUACCAGAGCUGGAUGCCAUCGUUGGUAAUAGUUCCAAGUUAUUUCAGAUCCGCAAGGUGCUCAUUCGGUCGCCCCCUGAUGACCAGCUCGUCAUUAUCAUGACCAACAACUGGAAUUAUCCAAUCAUCUUAAUCCGGCCGGGGAAGGGUGUGUGGCUACCGAAGCCACAAACAACCCCCUUCGUUGACAUCAUUGACAUCGUGCUCGUUGGAAACAGACUCUAUGGGAUCUCCAUGGCGGAGGACCUCUUCUCCUUCAAUAUAAGCUUUAGUGCCAGUGGCGUACCCAUGGUUACCAAUAUCAAGCACCACAUCAGAUCAGGUGAUGCUGAUCCCAAUGUUGAGAGCGACGUAGAUGAGGCCCAAGACCAUAAUGAGCACAAAAAGGGGCGGCACCAGCGCAACUUGUAUGACUUGAGGACUGGAGACAACAUGAUCAUUGAUGGCAUCCUCUGUGACGAGUUGCCUUACGCACCCAACGAUAACCUCGCCACAUUUUGGUACUUGCUUGAGUCGUGUGGAAAGCUAAUCAUGGUGAAGCGGCAAUUGCAAUGGCCUAAAUGUUGUUAUAGCAAAUUUACUCGUAAGCUGGAGGUUUUCGAGGCAGAUUUAAGUGAACGCGCCUGGUUGCCGGUGUCAGCUGGGCUAGGUGACCAGGCACUUUUCAUCAGUAAACGCUUCAGCAAGUCUGUUUCUGCAUCUGGAGGGAUAGAGGAGGAUGCUAUGUAUUUUAUCGAUACGGGUGAGGUGUUCAGCGUAAAAUCCCAAACUCAAUGCCUCCCGGUAGAGAGAAGCAUCGAUUCCUGCUGGUCAACAUGGAUCUUCCCGCCAAGUUAG
rnacentral:rRNA from 1 species